GCUCGCCCUUAUCCACGCGCGAGCCUAUCCGUUUCCCAUCCCCUCCAUCUUCUUCCUCGCGCUCGCGUCGUGCAGAGGACGAGCCGAGCUGCCGCCGAGCUCUGCGCCGGCCAAACCCCGCCACCCCGCUUCGUUUCUUCGUGCCCCAAGCCGCGCAGCCUCGCCCCACAACUCCUCCACCCAUCCCCGAGCUCGAUUGAGCCCUACGCCGGCCGGAUCGAGCUCCGGACCACCGGCCGCAAUUGACAUUCUCCACCGACGCUCCGCCCUCCCGUCGACGAACCACCUCCGGCCCUUCUCCGCUCGAUUGGACGACGGGAUGCCGCGAACGAAGCCGUCUACGAGCUAGUUGCUGAGCUGGUCCAGGAGCCGCAAGCAGAAGAGCAGCAGGAGGAAGCCGUUGAGCACGCUUCAGAAGAAGUUGCUAACCCCACUGACCUGCAUGGUUUUGUCCCCGCUGACUUCGAGGAGCUCUGUGCAUCCUGGAUUGGACAAACGCUUCCUCCGGGUUGGACCGUCGAGUGGGUCCCGUUUUCUCCGUGAAGUUCGGGCCAGUUGGCAGCACAUCGUGGGCAAGAUGUGAGGCCCACUUUUAUCGCCGUUCGUAGUACUUUAUUGUAUUUCAAACUCGGUUUUAACUUCCGCUGUGUUAGAACUCUAUUGUUUGUAUUCAAUACUUUUUUGUAAAACCCGUGUUGUAAAUUAAUUUGAGAAUCUCUGUAUGCUU